UGAUAUUUUAAAUAGCACGUAAUAUUUUUUUAAUUUUUAAAAUAUUCUUUUAGAAACUUAGAUAAUUGCUAAUAAUUUCUAGAAGACGCUAAUAUGUUUGAAAGAACUCUUUCCCUAAAUGAAAACGUUCAUAUUGAGACUCCCACUGGCUUGCGGCCGGCUGACGGCUUUACAUAUGAGAUAUUGUUUUCAGAAACUUCCUCAUAAACCUUUAUCUUCUGCUGAGGGUUGACUGUUCUUAAAUAGAAUGUUGAUGUUAGUCGAAAACAGGGUUAAAUUCGGUGUAAUGUUUCUAAUUUAUAGAAUUAAAGGAAGCAUGUAAUCAUAAAAGAGGAAUGAGAAUGUAGCAGACGCGAACUUAACUAGGAUAAGUAAAGCCAUAACAUGAGGAAUGUAAAAAAUUACUUAUACGAAAGCUAUAUACAAAAAUGUUCGUCUAUUAUUUGAUGUUAUUCUACACAUCCAAUGUGGUUCUAACACCUAACCUAAUGUGAAUUUAAUGUAAAGUAUCAAAGAACGCUACCUGGGUGCAAAACUGCAAGAGGCAUGUACAAAACGGUAGUUCUUAAUUCCGAUUCGCGUUGGCAAGACUACGCAUAUGGGGUCCCCAUGGUCUGGAGGAGGUAUCGAUAAUGAGGCCACAGAGUCUAUUAAUUUUCGUGUCAAGUGCAGAAGAUGUCUACUCCUCAUGGACCUAAUAACCAAACUCCAUCUGGUAUUGCAAAGGAGCAAUACUGGUCUAUACUGGUCAGAUUAACCUAACCUAAUCAAGGAGCGCUUGUUACACCUAAUAAGAGUUGAUAGUAAAACUUUCUUAGCUACAAGUUAACGUUAUGUUCUAUAACACCUUUCUGACCUAGAAUGGUAUGGAGUCAGAAUUUUUAAACUCUGAGCCGGGUAUAUUAAGCUUACCACUAUGUUAUCCAAAAGGACCCUAUUGACCCUAUAAAAUAUAUUUAUAAAUGAUCUGGCCGACAAGCAGAGUCAAUUUAGCCAUGUCCGUCUGUCUUUCUGUGUGUUUAUAUGCGAACUAGUCUCGCAGUUUUUGAGAUCUCCAUCUGAAAUUUCGCACUCAUCAUUUCCUCUGAAUCUGCUCAUUCGUCAGAACCCACCAUAAAGGACUACUAUAGAUAUAUGUAGCUGUAUGGAAAACUUUUUCAUUUGAAGAGAUCACAUAAUUUGACACGGGUUAUUGUUUUUGGCAAUGGUAUAAUAUGCAAAGAAAUAUCUCUCCUAUAGAAUAUAGCUAUCACACAAACUGAACAUUCGGAACCAAGUGUUUGUAUGGAAAACCUAUUUAUUUGACGAGAUAUCUCUACCCAAUGUGGCAUCGAACUGGCCAAACAAAAUCAAUUUUUUGUAAGCAAUAUAACUGGCCAGGAUAAUGAAAAACCCUAAGAAAAUAUAUUGGAAAAUAUAUACAUAUGAUUUUUAGGACUUAUUUCCUAUAUAAAGUUAUUUAUAUCAUUUAACUGGACAAAAAACCUGUUUCUACGACAGUUGGGUCUUUGUCAUCGGAAGGGAGAUAGUCGUAUAGUAUACGGUCAAGGACUGUUAAUUCGGCAGCAUUCCUCAUAUUAUAUUAUAUAUGUAUAUGUAGAUUAUGAGGAAUACUUUAGAUUUUCAGUGGCUAUAGAGUUCAGGAGUUACUUCCCUUAAUUAUUAGGUCCACUUCUCAUUGACCUAAUAAUAUUAUGGACUACUUUGGGCUUAUAAAAAGCAGAGUAGUAUGUGAUGAAAAUUCGUUUGUAGUUUUUCACUAUUCGCAGAAUGGGGCAUUCUCUGGAUUAAAAUAUAAAAACUAUAUCCAUGGCAUUUUAUCAUUCCAUUGUGGCAAAAUAAUGACGCAAACAACGGUUUAUUACAGCUAGUUCUCAUAUCUUAAAUAAAAUAUAAAACAAACGAUUACUUGAUAAUGAAUAUUUAUAAACAAAUAGUUAGUUGUACAUACAAACACGUGGACGAUAAAAAUAGUUCAUUAAUUUGUGUUAAAGUUUUCUAGUUCCAAGCACUUUUCAUAAAUCUCAUUUAACUAGGUUUUUAGCUUUCGCUAUUUAUACAUGGUGUUGUUAUUCGCUAACCGCAUUCGUUUUAUUGCCAACUUUAUUGACGCUAUAAAAAUGUUACUGUAUUACACAGAAACAUGCCGCAGUGCAGUGAAGGUAUUCACAACGAGCUCAAUUAUUUGAAAACUGUAAUGACUAAAAAAGGUUUAGUUAACCGCUCGAGUCAGAUCAACCAUAGAACGACAGUUAAAAGCGCUAACAAUCUCUUUGAGUAUAAAAAAUGUUCUCCAUGUUGUACCUGACCGUCAAAGUCGUAGAUUAAACGACCAUCGUUCGGCCUUCGUUUAUGUUCCCGAAUAAAUAAGCACCCUUUCGGGAGCUGCGAAAAAGUUAUAAGAUUCUUUUUUUGAGGUUAAAUGAAUACCCAUAUCAAGCAACUAAUUUUACAAUGGCGCUUGCGGUUAAGCAGUCAAUGAAAUGCAAUGAAUGUCGAACAACCUUACGAACACACUUCGGUUUUAUCUGGUUUUAUUGUUGACUUAUCGCUUAUUAACUAGUUUCGGUUAGGUUCAUUUGAUUUAAGUGCAGUUUAUUGCUGAGCAGGGUAAUAACUUAAUUACCGGCUGUUAAAUGCAAAACUACUUACAGAACCUACCCGAUUACUUAAAUUAUUAUUUAAGUUGUAAUAAAUAAAUUGAGCGAAAUGAACAUGACGUCGAUAGGUUAGAUAAUAUAGCGGUAGACGCGGCUAUACUGGAAGGUAGUGUGAAAUUCCAUUCACAGUUGAAAUACCCGAGUAUAGUUAAGUUCAUGUGAGAAGCUAAGGGAACUUAUGAAUUAUGAAAGUCGUAUUAGAAGUGAGCAGGUCUGCCAGUUGCGACUUAAGUUUUCUAUGUUUAAUCUAGAAGAAGGUGAUCCCACAAAAUAUGCCCACUUUUGUAGAUUAAGCCUUCUGAAUAUCACAGAAAAGGUUUCGUUGAAGUCAGUCUUCAAUUAUCCGAUUAUUUUUAAAAUUUCUCUCUCUACUUAAACGCAUCAUUAGUUAUUCUCAAAAAUUUGUAAACAGAAAAUUUGAAAGUGCUAAAACAUCUCAACUUUUUUGAAAACACAUUCUUGCCAUCUAUAGUAACUUUGAACUGAGGAAGCGCAUUAUAAGUAAAGAUAUCUCUCGAAAUAUAUAGAUAUUUUUAGGUUUAUCUUCAUCUACAUUGUAAUAUAUGGAGUAGAACCCUGAGAUUUUUUUUAUAAAGAUAUCAUUGUCAAACAUUUUUGAUAGCCGAUGAAUAUGUGGAAUCAAGAUCUGAAGGUCGUGCCAGUAGAUUCUGAUCUUCUCGAACCUAAGAAGGGUCUCACUUGGACAGCUUAGAACGCCGGUCUAUUGUGGUAUCUAUAAACUCCUUCCUAUAUACUGGAUUAUAAUACUUACAGAUCGACAAAGCGCUUUCGAGUCUGUCACAAAUUUGUUGAGAUGACUAUUAUCAGUUUCAGCUAGUGGCUGCAGAGAAAAUAAUAUGGAUACAUUGAGCACUUGCUGUAUUGAGAUUCACUUGUGGAACAUGGAAGCCAUUCUCGGCGAACUCGGCUGAAAUAGGUGGUAGUGUACAUAGCAACAAUCAAAUAGAAGAAGGGGGUAUUCGUUUAUUUCAGUUUAAUAAACAAUUUAAUAAAAAAUUUCUGUAUAAUCAAGCAUUGGACAAAAUAUAAAACGAUAAAAGUAAUUUGUUUGUAACUUAGUGAAUAGGCUAUUCCAAUUUAAAAUCACAAAAAUAAAGUUCUUAUUUGUUUAAUCCUUAAUUGUAAUCUUGAUUAACGCAUGUCUGUUUACAUAUCCACUAUACAUAUACGUCUGUUAUAUGCGAUAAACACUAUAUGGUUGUAGGCUUAUCUUUUUCAACGUAAUCAAACUUUUUCGGCUUAUUUAAAUUUUCAUCAUAUGAGUGUACACAAGUAUAUAUAAGUAUAUUGUCGCCAUUGUGCUAUUUUCGAAUUGUUUAAAUUGCUUUGAUUUAAAACAAAUGCAUUUUAUUUGCGCGAAGAGUGUGCCAGAAAUAAAAGCGCCUCCUAGGAACAAUGGCGAGGCGCCGAAGCGCAACGAUACAUCGACACUUUGACCUUUGUGGAUGAUUGAAUCUAUACAAUUGCCAAAAAAUAAAUACACAUGCAAAUUCAAAUAGUAUAAAUCAUUGAAAAGGGAAAUUUUUUAGAAGCAAUAGGGCUAGUAUUUGUUAUUAAAAAAUACAAAUAAUAAAAUAGUGGUGUAUAUGUGUUGUUGUGAGGUAAAGAUACACAGUCUGAAAAAAUUUGACACAAAUUACAGAUUUCAAUGUUUCGUGGGAUACAAAGAUAAUUUGUCAAAAAAAAAAAAGGUUUCCAUACAUGAACUUGGUUCUGAUCAGUCGAUUUGUGCCGCAGUUCUAUCCUGUAGCGGUUGGAUAUCGUCGGCUAUCACAAAUAAGCAGUAUCUUGAUGAGAGAAGGACAUGUGCAAAAUUUCAGAUCGCUAUCUUCAAAACUGAGGGACUAGUUCGCGUAUAUAUAGACGGAUAGAGAGAGAGAGAGACGGGCGUGGCUAAGUUUUCUUCAAAUUUCAUGGCACACUGAUUAUUCUCUGUUCGGGUAUACAGAUUUAUUAUGCGUGAAAUUUAGCAGUAAAUUUUUCGUUGAUAGUGGAAGGAUAAUUUUCAAGCAUAUUUGCAAUGAUUAAAAAUGAGCACACUAAUUUAAUAAGUUCUUUUUCAUGUAUUAAGCUUGAAAUGUUCUUUUUAUAUAUAUAUUUAUAUGUAUGCAUAUACAAUUUAAAAAUAGCACAUAAGUAAUUAAUUGCCACCCUAGUGCUAAUUGUUUUCGCAGCAGUUAGAAAGUCUGCUGAUUACUGCGUAGAUGUUAUUAACUUCAAGCGCAGACUAGUAUUCAAGUCUAUUCAUUAAAGGUAGUUUCAAUUGUUAUGGCACGCCAAAUAAACCCAAUGAUACAAUGUAAGCUAAUGUGUACCAUCGUAUGAACUGUUUAAAGUUUUUAAAUACUGAAAAUUGGAUUUUUUUUACAAAAAAAAAUGAAAAUUUCUAUGAAAAUUUCGCGACUUUUUUUUCAAAUAGUAGUGAUCGAAAAAAAGUCUUUCGUCCAAGUUUUUAAGAAUUGCAUCUCAAAGACCUUUGCAAAAUUUCAUGAAGAUCGGUAAGUAGUUCUCGAGAAAUCUUGCCAACCGACUUCAAAAACACCGUUUCGAGAAAAACGCGUUUAAACACGCCGCAUUUAACCUAGCUAGACUCGAGCGCAUGAGUUGUCCAUGCUGUAUCUCUGAAACUAUUACUCGGAUGAACUUGAAAACUUAGAACAAUAUUCUAGAGGUGUUGUAGAAUUUAAUAAGACAGUACAAAAAUUCGAAAAUUUCUAUGAAAAAUUAGGCGAUUUUCGUGCAUUUUUUUUUAAAGAAAGUACUCUAUCGAAUGUUUCGAAUUUCUUUGUACGUAAUAGGAUAGAUUUUCAGCUAUUUUAAAAUUUUUGUUUUACAAAAAUAUUGAAAAAUUACGGAGUUAUGUGUUGCCCUCGGAGGUGGGUGUUGUGCAUAAAAAGACGUUAAAAAUGAACGUAUUUUUUUUUUUGUAAAUUCGCCUAGUAUACAUACAUAUAAAUAGGUAAAUAUGUACACACAACUGUACUUAUGUGAAAAUAGUUCCCAUGCUUCACUAAUUUCUCUAACUGCUCCGUAAAAAACACCGCAUUCAUAUGCAAAGUUUUGUCUAAUUAGCAUCGGUUCAACUAUUAAAGUAAAUAUAAAUAAACAAUAAUUUCACAUAUGCUUGGUAAUUAAAUUUGCUCUCCAGAAAUAUUUCACAUGCAAAAGAUUCCUAAAUUCUACAAUUUAGCACUAAUUAUAAUUUUGUAGCCAAAUUAACACUUUUUUGGUUGUUUUUUUGCGAAAAAAUUGUACACCAACCACGUGCUCGCAUAUAUUUAGUGUAUGUAUGUAUGUAUGCUCGUUAAAGAGGUUUCGAUAAGGGCGGUAAAGAGGUAAAUUUAAGCUGUCUUCGUUUCGUCAAGCGUUACUCUCUAGGGAAUCGAACAAACUAUACCAAAUGCUUAAACAAGCGUGUUAUAAUUCUUUUUCGGUAUAGAAAUUAUUUUUUCGAGAUAAAAAUGUUAUUUUAAUCCUUGAAAGCAAAGAGACAGUAACUGUGGCGACUGCAUAUACGAGUAUACUGGGUUACAGCCCUCAAAGGAAUUCCGGGAAACUAUAGUAAAUAAUAGCUCCGAUAUAAAACUGAAUUUCCAAGAGGGCUCUCAGAGCGAUCAGGGCAAGUUGGAAGGAUUUAAGCUUAUGCAGGAUCGCCAAAAUCAUAUGCAAGAGUUCCGUAGAAAAACUCGCAUGCUUUCUACUCACACGGUCUCGGGCGGCUGUUUGCAUCCUGACAUAUCACAACCUACUCGCAUUACAUGUGAGCCGAAUGGACAUAAGUAACGACGAAAAUUGCAGAAAGUGCACAGAAGUAGGUAUAAAAGAGAUGCCAAUCCUCUGGCCAGCGUUAACUAAAAUUUAUCUUAGAUAUCUAGGAGCUUCGCAGUUCAAGAGACUAGGCGAAGUAUCAAACUUAUAUCGCUCAUUUGCUGCAAGACCGGCAUAAUUCAAAAAACGUGAGUUUUGAGUUAAUGCUACAGAAUUGUUCGUUAUAUCAUACUUCAUGUUGAGUGAAAAAUUCAUAUGAAUACCUCUUAUAUGCUCCGCUUGAGAAGAGGUGUAAGGUUGGAGUCACCGUGUAAGGUUGUAGUAAGUUGAAAACUUUAAACGCGUUUUCUGGCGAAUCGAUUUUUUUGACUUAUGCCGGUCUUGCAGCAAAUGAGCGAUAUGUAUAUCAAGUCCCUCAUAAAGUUCUCAAAAAGCUUUGACGUCCUAUUUGACGAAUACUUCAUUUGGUAUUACUAAAAUCCAGUAGCUCUAUGUUUGGCGUAAGAGCCGGUCAGUAUAACCUAAUCUUACAUUCACAAUAAUAAAACUGAUCUGAUGUAUGCCAACCAAAACUUGGUAUCAUUGAAUAUAUACAUAUAUAGAUAUACAUAUAUGUAUGUAUAUCACUUUGAUCAGGUAUCCGCAUACUAUAUAUAUUCUAUCAAUUUAAGUCGAUAGCUUUGUUGAUGCUUUUACAUGUAAAAUAUAGUCAAGAGAGUAGCCCACAAUCAUAGCGAGCAGAGAAAUGACGCAUCAAAGACGGCGACUGCUAAAGAUUUCCAAUACAUUAUAUUUAUAUACUUAUGAAAACACACAAUUAAAUAGUAAAUAAAAUUGAUGACAUUAAAUGUAUAUUAUUGUUUAAUAUAUGCCUUCACUAUCUAUCACUUCCCAUUUUCUCUUAGUUCUAUUUGUUUUUCCUUGUAUUUUCAAUUUGGCAACGGCGGGGUGAACACAUUAUGUGUAUAUACUUUAUGGCAUAUAUUAUGUAUGUAUGUAAACUAAACAUAUGAUCGCUAAAUUUCCUUGAUUUUAUUUUGUUUUCCUUUUUGUUUUGAUUAGAAAAUUCGUUUAAUGCCGCGUAUAUAAAAAAACAAUAACAAUAAUUUAAUACUGUAGCAACGGCAGCAACUGAGUUGCAUCUGCUGUGCUUUGAUUCUGUGUUACUGUGGCGAGAAAAGUUGAAAUAAAUAGUGAAAAAUUCGAUUUAUUUGCUUGCAAGGCUCAUAUACAUUUCUGCAGAUAUACUUAUGUACAUUCGAAAGUAAUAAAACACAUUUGUAUAUACAAACAUACAUAUAUGUGGGCAGAGUAUAUAUUGUACUAUACACUAGAGGGAGCCAAAUUCUCCUGACCGUAUAUAUAAAACUAGACAUACAUAUAUUACUUUUCUUAAGUGAAUACUCGUAAUAUACUCUUCCUACAGAUAAGCUCAAAUAUGGGUGCUUAUGAAUAUGAACAUCGUAUGUAUGUACUAUAUAUGUGUAUAUCAUAUUACACUACCUCGAAUUUGUUUUCCUUCGCACGUGCUUGAUUUCAAUAACAAUAACAAACAAUGCAAUUUUGUCUAAAAUUAAAUGCAGUGAAAAAUAUAUGUUCAAAAUAUAUACAUAUGUAUGUACAUAAUAUAUAUAUAUUAAAUUUUCGAUGACUAGGUCGAGCAUUUUGACUGGUAACUGGCGAAUGAUACCCGUGAUGUUGUGCUCCGAAUCAAAGCGUGAAUGUUUCAAUACACUUUAGAUUUUAUAUAUCCCCACAGAAAAAAGUCUAACGAUAUGAUAUCACUCGAUCUUGGUGGCCAACCGACCGGUCCAAAACGCGAAACUAUCUGCUCACCGAAGUGUUCCCUCAAUAAGUUCAUUGAUCAAAUAGUAGUUAUCAUGGCGCGAUGUCAAACACGACUCACAUGACAUCUGUCAAAAAAAAGUUUAUGGAAAAAAGUACCUCUACUUGUAUCUCCCGUUAUAUACACUUUAUCUGACAUUUCCUUUUGACUAUUAUAAUGCCUAGUUCAGGGUAUAAAAACUUAAAUUAUAUUGGUUAAUUUUGAAAAAAAGCUCUAUUGCUCUCAUAUCUAGUUUUUUCUACAAUAUUUUGACAUUUAAGGGAAAUUUUUUUCUUACCGAAUUUACAUUUCCGUUUCUCAGAACAAUUUGGUGGACACCACUUAUUUCAAGUUCCGUUGUUUAUUUUUUCAAGUACCUGAGAGCAUUAUGUAUUGAAAAAAAUGUCAAUUUAUACGACAUUGAACUAUGUGUCAUGAAUACCCUCUUUUUGAACCUAGAAAAGUGAACACGGCUUAAAAUAGUCGGUAAAGCUCAAUAUUUCUUUAUGGGAAAGCUGCGUACUUUCCAAAUAUAUACCCACGUAUAUACCAUAUAUGUAUAUAUACAUAUUUAUUAUCGCGUAACACAAGAACCGUACGCGAGUUAAUGUCAAGCAUCUGACAUUUGCCAAAUUGACAGUAGUAACAAUAAAGGCAAUUGCAACUUAUAAUAGUGCCACUUUACCAAUUUCCACUUGUCAGCUGACAUACAUAUAUGUAAACUGCAUCUGUAUAAAUGUAUAUUUUUCAGUCGGUAGAUAGUUUAGACAGUUGCAUGCCACUUUGCCACACUUGCCUACAUUUAUCUGCUGCAUUUUGUUGCAUGUGCGAAGGCUCCGUCUGACACUUGCAUGACAGCUUCGUUUCAAAGUCCGUGCCAGUACUCACUUUUCAAGGGAGAAAAUGAAAACGAAAGGACAAUUAUCCUGUCCAUUUGAUCAGCUAAUUUGAAUUUGUAGUGAAAUUUAAUUUGAACUUAAUGAAAUAUGCUGUCUAAGUAAUUGCCGGGUUAACAAGUUGAAUUGUUGGGGGUUUGAGAUAAGCAUUAUUACACAUAAAAUGUCAAUUAUGUGAGGGAAAAGGGCGAUAUAAAGGCGGACUCUGGAUACAAAAUUAAGGUAUCAUGAAGAAAAGGUUUCUAUAUUGAGUUUAAAGGGGUUAAGGUUGUAGUAUUAUUACAACUUGUCCGGAGGGCUUAUCACGAGUUUAUAGGCUUGGUUUCCUCAAGCCAGUUAUACUAUAGGGUGAUUUUUUAAGAGCUUGAUAACUUUUUUUAAAAAAAAAACGCAUAAAAUUUGCAAAAUCUCAUCGGUUCUUUAUUUGAAACGUUAGAUUGGUUCAUGACAUUUACUUUUUGAAGAUAAUUUCAUUUAAAUGUUGACCGCGGCUGCGUCUUAGGUGGUCCAUUCGGAAAGUCCAAUUUUGGGCAACUUUUUCGAGCAUUUCGGCCGGAAUAGCCCGAAUUUCUUCGGAAAUGUUGUCUUCCAAAGCUGGAAUAGUUGCUGGCUUAUUUCUGUAGACUUUAGACUUGACGUAGCCCCACAAAAAAUAGUCUAAAGGCGUUAAAUCGCAUGAUCUUGGUGGCCAACUUACGGGUCCAUUUCUUGAGAUGAAUUGUUGUCCGAAGUUUUCCCUCAAAAUGGCCAUAGAAUCGCGAGCUGUGUGGCAUGUAGCGCCAUCUUGUUGAAACCACAUGUCAACCAAGUUCAGUUCUUCCAUUUUUGGCAACAAAAAGUUUGUUAGCAUCGAACGAUAGCGAUCGCCAUUCACCGUAACGUUGCGUCCAACAGCAUCUUUGAAAAAAUACGGUCCAAUGAUUCCACCAGCGUACAAACCACACCAAACAGUGCAUUUUUCGGGAUGCAUGGGCAGUUCUAGAACGGCUUCUGGUUGCUCUUCACCCCAAAUGCGGCAAUUUUGCUUAUUUACGUAGCCAUUCAACCAGAAAUGAGCCUCAUCGCUGAACAAAAUUUGUCGAUAAAACACAUUUCGAACCGAACACUGAUUUUGGUAAUAAAAUUCAAUGAUUUGCAAGCGUUGCUCGUUAGUAAGUCUAUUCAUGAUGAAAUGUCAAAGCAUACUGAGCAUCUUUCUCUUUGACACCAUGUCUGAAAUCCCACGUGAUCUGUCAAAUACUAAUGCAUGAAAAUCCUAACCUCAAAAAAAUCACCCGAUAUAUACAGAUUUA